CCCUUAGAUGUUCUGGGCUGCACGCGCGCGACAAUGACGUUUGCAACGAGAUUGCGAGGCCGUCAGGUCGAGCUGAUCUUGCAAGCUGCGUCGUGAUAGGGACAGUCGAUUGCAAUUAUUCGACUCGAACGAGGAAUUCCUUGUAAUCGCGCAUCAUCAGUGCGCGCUGAAUACGUCCCUGCCCUUUGUACACACCGCCCGUCGCUCCUACCGAUUGAGCGAUCCGGUGAAUGUUUUGGACUGGCGUCAGAAGCGGUUCGCUCCUGACACUACGAAAUUUUGUAAACCUUAUCGCUUAGAGGAAGGAAAAGUCGUAACA
rnacentral:rRNA from 1 species